UGCGUAGGGGGCAAGCGUUGUCCGGAUUUAUUGGGCGUAAAGAGCGUGUAGGCGGCUUUACAGGUCCGUUGUGAAAACUCGAGGCUCAACCUCGAGACGCCGGUGGAAACCGUAAAGCUAGAGUCCGGAAGAGGAGAGUGGAAUUCCUGGUGUAGCGGUGAAAUGCGCAGAUAUCAGGAAGAACACCCGUGGCGAAGGCGGCUCUCUGGGACGGUACUGACGCUGAGACGCGAAAGCGUGGGGAGCGAACAGG
rnacentral:rRNA from 1 species